AUCCGAAGGGAGCUAGCGUUGUUCGGAAUUACUGGGCGUAAAGCGCACGUAGGUGGACUGGUCAGUUGAGGGUGAAAUCCCAGGGCUCAACCCUGGAACUGCCUUCAAUACUGCCAGUCUUGAGUCCGAGAGAGGUGAGUGGAAUUCCUAGUGUAGAGGUGAAAUUCGUAGAUAUUAGGAAGAACACCAGUGGCGAAGGCGGCUCACUGGCUCGGUACUGACGCUGAGGUGCGAAAGCAUGGGGAGCAAACAGGAUUAGAAACCCCAGUAGUCC
rnacentral:rRNA from 1 species